rnacentral:rRNA from 1 species
UUAGAGUUUGAUCCUGGCUCAGGAUGAACGCUAGCGGCAGGCUUAAUACAUGCAAGUCGAGGGGCAGCAGGACUGUAGCAAUACAGUUGCUGGCGACCGGCAAACGGGUGCGGAACACGUACGCAACUUUCCUUCAACUGAGGAAUACCCCAGGGAAACUUGGAUUAAUACCCCGUAACAUUAUGAAGUGGCAUCACUUUAUAAUUAUAGCUCAGGCGGUUGAAGAUGGGCGUGCGGCUGAUUAGGUAGUUGGCGGGGUAACGGCCCACCAAGCCUACGAUCAGUAACUGGUGUGAGAGCACGACCAGUCACACGGGCACUGAGACACGGGCCCGACUCCUACGGGAGGCAGCAGUAAGGAAUAUUGGGCAAUGGACGCAAGUCUGACCCAGCCAUGCCGCGUGGAGGAUGAAGGUCCUCUGGAUUGUAAACUUCUUUUAUUUGGGAAGAAAUCCAUAUUUUCUAAUGUGGUUGACGGUACCAGAUGAAUAAGCACCGGCUAACUCCGUGCCAGCAGCCGCGGUAAUACGGAGGGUGCAAGCGUUAUCCGGAUUCACUGUGUUUAAAGGGUGCGUACGCGGAUUGGUAAGUCCGUGGUGAAAUCUCCGAGCUUAACUCGGAAACUGCCGUGGAUACUAUCAGUCUUGAAUAUCGUGGAGGUAAGCGGAAUAUGUCAUGUAGCGGUGAAAUGCUUAUAUAUGACAUAGAACACCCAUUGCGA